GCAGAUAUCUACAAGAAAAUUCAGUAGAUGGUGAGGUUUAUCUAGUAGGAAGUUGAGGUGAAAGCCAACGAGAUUGCUAUCUCUAUUGAAGAAGUACUACUUUGUUCUCUUUGCUUUCUUCUUUUAAUGAUUUCCAUAUUUUAUUUACUCCUUUGAACUACUGAGUGUUGAUUUAAUUGUACUUUAGUCAGUGGCAUAUACUUAGUGACAAGAUUAUGUUUUUUGGCUUUGUAAGUUGACCGCAGAUAGGUUCCAUCCCCAUUGCUAAACCAGAGAUGACAAAGUAACAAGCAAUGUUGGCGAAGCCGAUAGAAAGGGAGUCUCUUGUGAGUUCCAUUUGGUUGAGAUAGCCAAGAAAAAGCAUAGAGAGCAUAGCUCUUGAAGGAUAACUAGACCGGAACGAUAUAGAGGAAAUUUUAUAAGGAAGGUGUAAGAGAUGAUAACUAAAGAAGAAUAGCUAAGGAUACCUAUUGCACAAGGCCUUCCUUGGACAGUAGAUGAACCAGUGGUAUAGGUCCAACAAUAGUUACUUUGUAAGUUUUAGUAAAGAGCUUGAUUUGAUUCAAGUGUUGUUGAUGAGGUUGCUUUCAAUUUGUUUUGUUGCUUGGUAAAGCCUUUGGUGAAGGAAGUUGCCAUCCCUAUUUAUGUGAAACUUCAUAGUGAUUUUGCAAGCCAUUGAUCAAGUUGUCUUUUAACACCUAAUUUGUUCUCUUUCAUUUAUUUAAGCCUUUAUCUCAGCUUUUGCCCAUUGGGUCAAGAAAAACUGCAUUUGUCCUUUGGUUCAAGGGAAAAAAAUUAUGUCUGGCAGAACAUGGUUCUGUUGAUGGAGUGUAAAGGUUAAAAAUGAAGAGCUAUAAUGAUUGCUUUCGUGAAAGCAUGUAUAAGAGAUAAAAUUAAGGAUUUUGAAUUUCCCUCCUCUUGCUGAAUAACUUUUUCUUAAUGGACUGCCCAAUAAUUUUUAAAUUUUUAAGUCAUUUAAUGAGAGCCUUUCUAUUCAUGCUCUCCAUUUCUCUUUUUUGUUUUUUUUAAUGAAUUAGAAGAUCAAGAUGAUUUGUUAGGUUAAAGAUGAUUUGUUAUUUCCCUUUAUCAGUGAAUUAAAUAAAAAUAUAAUAUGCUUUUGAUUCCAUUUCAACUUGCAUCACCUUUUUUGUUUUGUAUCUUCAUUUUUGUUCAAGAAGUCCCUUUUCUUUGGAUCAUGAAAUAGCAGUAUCUAUUCUCAAUAUCAGUGGAGUACUAAAUACCUUAAAGAUUUAUGCCACACAUAUUUAAUCCCCAACAGACUGUAUAGCUAAGUCCCUUUUUCCCAUGCAUACUUAAUCAGUUCGCUUAUUCAGUACAGAUCUUUCAUAUUUCCCAUGAAGUGAUUUCAAAAACUAACUUGUUGUUUUCUAAAGUUUAGCUAGGAGUCUGCAACUAGUUCUUUGAUCUACAUUUGGAAGAUGAUUUUAAUUGUUGGGUUGUUCACUUGAAUAAUGGCAAUCGUUGAGAAGGAUCAUGUGAUAGCUGUUUCUUCAAAGCAAGCUGUGUAUUAUGUUGGUAGCCCACACUUAAGAAGCCAUGUUAAAACUUUUUCAAACCUUAGAUAUGUAUCUAAAGCUGUUUAUAGAUCUGUGAAGCUACUUACAGAUGUGGUCACUUGUUUUGUGGAUGAAUGGAAUAUUCAUAUCAUUUU